GCGCACCAGGCGAGAAAACUGGCCAAUGCGCGAAAGCGUGAGCCGGCUAAUCUGAGUGGUUCCCCAUCGGGAACCUUUUGCCAAGUGUACAAAGCUUGGCGAAUAAGGAGAGGGCAAGACUGGUGCCAGCCGCCGCGGUAAAACCGAGCUCUUCGGAAUCGUGGCAUGAUUAUUUGGCUUAAAGUGGUGCGUUAGCAGGACAGGAUAAGUCUCCUGUGAAAUGCCAGGUCUUAAGCCUGGCGCGGU
rnacentral:rRNA from 1 species